ensembl:lncRNA
CUUGGACGCCCGAGGGCGGAAACACUAGAGACGAGCAGAGCGAGUCCAGAGAGAUGUGCAGUUGCUCUGGGGUUGGAAAAAGCGAAAAUGAAAAGAAAAAUCGUACGAGAAAGCAUGAGAUGGGGAAUUUAGAACCCACUGCAAAAGUCCACUGACGUCGAGAGAACUGCUGAGCAUGUGGAAGAGCUGGCACAUAACCGUAGAUAGAAGCAGAUAACUGGGUGUUUGCACGAGGCCAAGGGAUGGGAAGAGAUUCUCAUGAAUGGAUUAAUAUGGCUAGUGUGAUAAAGCAGAGAGAAGAAGCCUUUCUCAAGGCAGCAACAGAUGCCUUCUUCAACAACCCCUUUAGCACCAUCUCUUCCAGAAGAUGCAAUGGCUGGAACCCAGGGCCUUGCACCUGCUAGGCACGCAAUUCACCUUAAUUAUGUCCCUCAGCACGACUUCAGCAGCUUUAAAUCCCCUCUGUAUGGGUGGGGAGAGAUGGGUGUUUCCUGGGCAACCAGGGGCAAGCUG